rfam:Triticum urartu cultivar G1812 contig962719, whole genome shotgun sequence.
GAUCUACUCCCUCCGUUCCGAAUUACUUGUCGCGGGCAUGGAUGUAUCUAGAUACAUCCAUUUAUGCGACGAGUAAUUUGGAACGGAGGGAGUAGUUA